rnacentral:rRNA from 1 species
UAAAUCCCAUUGAUCCUGUGGGAGAUUGCUGCUAUUGGGAUCCGACUAAGCCAUGCAAGUCAUAGGGGUAGCAAUACCACUGGCAUAAGGCUCAGUAACACGUCGAUAAUUUGCCCUUAGGUCUGGGAAAACCUCGGGAAACUGAGGCUAAACCUAGAUAAGAAAAAGAUACUGGAAUGUUUUUUUUCUAAAAGGCAACGCCUAAGGAUAAGUCGGCGGCUGAUUAGGUUGUUGGUGAGGUAAUGGCUCACCAAGCCUAGGAUCAGUAGGGGGGAUGAGAGUCCUAGCCCCGAGAAGGGCACUGAGAUACUGGCCCUAGCCCUAAGGGGUGCAGCAGGCGCGAAAACUCUGCAAUGCACGAAAGUGUGACAGGGGGAUCCCAAGUGCUUUGUCUUCGGAUAAAGCUUUUAUUAAGUCUAAAUAGCUUGGUGAAUAAGUGGUGGGUAAGACGGGUGCCAGCCGCCGCGGUAACACCCGCGCCACUAGUGGCAAUCACUUUUAUUGGGUCUAAAGCGUCCGUAGCCGGUUUAAUAAGUCUCUUGUGAAAUUGUUGGGCUUAACCUAACAACGUGCAAGAGAAACUAUUAGACUUGAGACUGGGAGGAGGUAGAAGUAUUCUAAGGGUAGCGGUAAAAUGUUAUAAUCCUUGGAGGACUACCAGUGGCGGAGGCGUCUACCUAGAACAGGUCUGACGGUGAGGGACGAAGGCUAGGGGAGCAAAACGGAUUAGAUACAAGAAAUUUUCUGAGAGUAAAUUUCUGUACAGGCAAGUAAAAUUGAUCAAUAAAAAACUACUUUAUUUGUUAAGAUGCAGAAAUUAAUAUGGAAAUUUGCUUGCUAAGUACCCGAGUAGUCCUAGCAGUAAACUCUGUGAGCUAUGUGUUGCACAAUCUUAGUGAUUGUGCAGUGCCUAAGCGAAGGUGUUAAGCUCACCACCUGGGAAGUACAGUCGCAAGACCGAAACUUAAAGGAAUUGGCGGGGGCUCACUACAAGGGGUGAAGAGUGCGGUUCAAUUGGAUUCCACGCCGGAAAUCUCACCAGGGGCGACGGCAAUAUGAAGGUCAGAUUAAAGGUUUUACCUAAUGCGCCGAGAGGUGGUGCAUGGCCGACGCCAGCUCGUGCCGUGAAAUUCCGUUGUAAUAUUCCAAUGAAUCGAUCAAUAUAGUUACAACUUGAUUCGGUAAAGGUGUCACGUUAAGUCGUGCAACGAGCAAGACCCAUAUCCGCUUUUACCAGCAGGUACUAUGGUACGACUGGGUACAAUGCGGAGACUGCCUCCGUAAGGAGGAGGAAGGCGUGGGCAACGUUAGGUCCGUAUGCCCCGAAUCUCCUGGGCUACACGCGCUCUGCAAUGGUGGAGACAAUGGGAUGCAACUCCGAAAGGAGAAGCAAAUCCUCGAAAUUCCAUCUUAGUCUGGAUUGAGGGUUGUAAUUCACCCUCAUGAAACCGGAAUCCCUAGUAAUCGGGCUUCAUUACGGCCCGGUGAAUAACGUCCCUGAGCCUUGCACACACUGCCCGUCAAACCAACCGAGCAUGGCUUAGAUGAGAUAUAGUUUUUUGAUUAUAUCGAAUCUGAGUUAAGUAAGGUGGGUUAAGUCGUCACAAGGUAUCCGUAGGGGAACCUGCGGAUGGAUCACCUCCUU